AAGAGUCAAGUCCUCGCCUACCGGGGCAGGCCUGCAGAAACAUCUGUCGGCAGCGGUUGAAACCGGGAAAUAUGCCCGGACAAUUUCUUCGCGACGUUUGCAUCGUUACUUAUUUCUUUCUGACAUUCCAUAUCGGUGGGUAGGACAGAGCCAGAAUCCGAGCUCUUUUCGAAGCAGACAUUCCGCUCAGAAUUUUCUGCCCUGCCGUUAGUUCCGACACAUCCAAGAUAUGGGCCCAGAGCAUCGUUCCUUACAAUCGCUUUUCAGCAUUUCUUUCUCAUGACUGAAUUUGACGGGUCUGUAUUUGUCCCUUCUGGUCCUGUAUUUGCCGCGAAACUUCAUCGGUCCACCUCUGACCUAUCCGUCACUCUCUCUUUUCGAACUUGCCGUUCCUUCGCAACAGCGGCCGAGCAUACUUUUCAGAGUUAUGAAGCCGCUCGUGGCGUGCCAGAGGCGAAUGAUGACGUUGACACCACCUUUUUCUUCCGUGAUACGAUGCAAAGUGGUUUCCCAUCAGGGAAGGACAUCCAGGUGCUCUUGGGUUUCCGCAACACCGGAGAAGCGAGUCUGACCGUCACGCACAUAGCCGGAACACUCAGAGCACCUGGCCUUGGCACUUUCUAUGUCGCAAAUUUCACAAAACGUGUGAUUGAAGUCGUCGUGGAGCCUGGCAAGGAAGCUUCAUUUUUGUACAUUUUUUUCAUCGAAUCCCAACUCGCUGGGCAUGAUUUCAACAUCGAGUUCAGUGUGUUUUAUCAG
rnacentral:lncRNA from 1 species